rnacentral:lncRNA from 1 species
GUCACAAUUUUGUUUUAAAAUAUUAUCAUAAAAAUGCUGAGUUAUCCACGUUUAGCGCAGUUCUCUCCUCUACUUUGAAAAGAGUAACUCUGUUUUUCUCCCUGUAGGGGGGAAAAUAUUCACAUCUGGAUUAUCCAAAGUCAUGGAUUCAAGUUUAUUUGUGUUUCCCACAUAGAGUUGUUCAUUUCUGGAAAAAUUAACACAUUCAUAAAAGUUGUGAGCUGUAAAGACUUGAAUGACCAGAAUGUUAAGUAUUAUUUGAGGGACAUUCUACUAGAAAAACACCAAGUGAGUCAUCAUCAGAAGGCCAAGAUUCUAAGACGAAGCUCUGCCAUUAUUUAACUACAUAAUCUUGGGUAAAUCAGUAGACUGGAGUUCCCUUCACAUCAAUUAUCUCAUCUCUAAGAUAAGUAUCAUAAUCACUUUCCUGCUUACUUUGGAGUUGUAAUAAUCAAAUGCUCACUUUGAAAAUGUUAAGGGUUUAUAUACAAGACAUUAUUAAUAUUCUACAGUAGGAUAUUGGCUAGGAUUGACUGGAAAUAUUUCUGAGUCCGAAGUAGCCACUAGUUUUUGUCUACAUAAGAAAAUGCUUCCCAUUCCCAGAAAGAUACAAAUAUCUACAUUUGGAACCUAAAAUAGACAUGAAAUUAUUUGUUUACAAUAUGGUAACGUAUAUCUAUAUAUAUGUACUUAGGAAUUAUUUUUAGCAAAUGAAAAAGAAUUGUAACUAAAUGCAAAAGAAUAGUAAAUCAAGAUAUUUACCAAAAUAAAAAAGAAAGAUUAUAUGCUACA